UACGUAGGUGGCGAGCGUUAUCCGGAAUUAUUGGGCGUAAAGGGAGCGUAGGCGGAUAAUUAAGUGGGAUGUGAAAUACUCGGGCUUAACCUGGGUGCUGCAUUCCAAACUGGAUGUCUAGAGUGCAGGAGAGGAAAGGAGAAUUCCUAGUGUAGCGGUGAAAUGCGUAGAGAUUAGGAAGAACACCAGUGGCGAAGGCGACUCUCUGGACUGUAACUGACGCUGAGGCUCGAAAGCGUGGGGAGCAAACAGG
rnacentral:rRNA from 1 species